GAUGAACGCUGGCGGCGUGCCUAAUACAUGCAAGUCGAGCGAACGGACGAGAAGCUUGCUUCUCUGAUGUUAGCGGCGGACGGGUGAGUAACACGUGGAUACCCUACCUAUAAGACUGGGAUAACUUCGGGAAACCGGAGCUAAUACCGGAUAAUAUUUUGAACCGCAUGGUUCAAAAGUGAAAGACGGUCUUGCUGUCACUUAUAGAUGGAUCCGCGCUGCAUUAGCUAGUUGGUAAGGUAACGGCUUACCAAGGCAACGAUGCAUAGCCGACCUGAGAGGGUGAUCGGCCACACUGGAACUGAGACACGGUCCAGACUCCUACGGGAGGCAGCCGUAGGGAAUCUUCCGCACUGGGCGAAAGCCUGACGGAGCAACGCCGCGUGAGUGAUGAAGGUCUUCGGAUCGUAAAACUCUGUUAUUAGGGAAGAACAUAUGUGUAAGUAACUGUGCACAUCUUGACGGUACCUAAUCAGAAAGCCACGGCUAACUACGUG
rnacentral:rRNA from 1 species